CAAAAACAUGUCCUCUUGAUUAUAUUUUGAGGUCUGGCCUGCUCACUGAUAAAUUUAAAGAGCCGCGGUAUUUUGACCGUGCAAAGGUAGCAUAAUCAUUAGUCUUUUAAUUAAGGGCUGGAAUGAAUGGCUUGACGAGAAAUUAACUGUCUCUUAAUAAUUUAUAAAAUUUAACUUUUGAGUCAAAAGGCUUAAAUUUUUCUUUAGGACGAGAAGACCCUAUAGAGCUUAACAUAUAAUUUAUAUUUAAACUUUAGAUGUUUUUUAUAUAUUUAAUUAUAAAGGUUUGUUGGGGUGACAAGAAGAAUUAAUAAACUCUUCAUUAUAAAAUCAUUAAUUUAUGUUUGUUUGUGAUCCAUAAUUUAUGAUCAUAAGAUUAAGUUACCUUAGGGAUAACAGCGUAAUUGUUUUUGAGAGCUCAAAUCAACAAAGCAGAUUGCGACCUCGAUGUUGGAUUAAGAAAAAUUUUGGGUGC
rnacentral:rRNA from 1 species